rnacentral:rRNA from 1 species
AGUGAACGCUGGCGGUAGGCCUAACACAUGCAAGUCGAACGGCAGCACAGUAAGAGCUUGCUCUUACGGGUGGCGAGUGGCGGACGGGUGAGGAAUACAUCGGAAUCUACUUUUUCGUGGGUGAUAACGUAGGGAAACUUACGCUAAUACCGCAUAUGACCUACGGGUGAAAGCAGUGGAUCUUCGGACCUUGCGCGAUUGAAUGAGCCGGUGUCGGAUUAGCUAGUUGGCGGGGUAAAGGCCCACCAAGGCGACGAUGCGUAGCUGGUCUGAGAGGAUGAUCAGCCACACUGGAACUGAGACACGGUCCAGACUCCUACGGGAGGCAGCAGUGGGGAAUAUUGGACAAUGGGCGCAAGCCUGAUCCAGCCAUGCCGCGUGGGUGAAGAAGGCCUUCGGGUUGUAAAGCCCUUUUGUUGGGGAAGAAAAGCAGCAGAUUAAUACCCCGCUGUUCUGACGGUACCCAAAGAAUAAGCACCGGCUAACUUCGUG